UUGGGAUUUAAGGUUUAGGAGUUAGGGGUUAAAAGUUAGGGAUUGAGGGUUUAGGGAUUCAGGGGUCGGUUUAGGAUUUUGGGUUUAGAUUAAUUAUUUUUUAAUUUAUAUUUUAAAUAUGUUCUUAUGUAAAAGAGAUAAUAAUAAAUUUGUUUAGGGUUUUUAGUUUAGGGUGUAUGAUUAAUUUAAGAUUUAAGGCCGGUUUAGGAGUUCAUAUUUUAAGGUUUAGAGAGUAUGGAUUUAGGGAUUUUGGAUUACGAAUUAUAGUUUAAGGGUUGGGCUUU
rnacentral:lncRNA from 1 species